rnacentral:rRNA from 1 species
CGUGGAGAGAUUCACGGUCCACUCGGUGGCGCGCACACAGGUGCUGCAUGGCUGUCGUCAGCUCGUGUCGUGAGAUGUUGGGUUAAGUCCCGCAACGAGCGCAACCCAGUCCUUAGUUGCCAUCAUUCAGUUGGGCACUCUAGGGAGACUGCCGGUGAUAAGCCGCGAGGAAGGUGUGGAUGACGUCAAGUCCUCAUGGCCCUUACGGGAUGGGCUACACACGUGCUACAAUGGCGGUGACAGUGGGACGCGAAGGAGCGAUCUGGAGCAAAUCCCCAAAAGCCGUCUCAGUUCGGAUUGCACUCUGCAACUCGAGUGCAUGAAGGCGGAAUCGCUAGUAAUCGUGGAUCAGCAUGCCACGGUGAAUACGUUCCCGGGCCUUGUACACACCGCCCGUCACACCAUGGGAGUUGGUCUUACCCGACGGCGCUGCGCCAACCGCAAGGGGGCAGGCGACCACGGUAGGGUCAGCGACUGGGGUGAAGUCGUAACAAGGUAAGCGUAGCGAG